rnacentral:snRNA from 1 species
GUGCUCACUUCAGCAGCACCUAUACUAAAAUUGGAACCACACAGAGAAGAUUAGCAUGGCCCUUGUGCAAGGAUGACAUACAAAUUCGUGAAGUGUUCCAUAUUUUG